UACGGGGGGGGCAAGCGUUGUUCGGAAUUACUGGGCGUAAAGGGCUCGUAGGCGGCCAACUAAGUCAGACGUGAAAUCCCUCAGCUUAACUGGGGAACUGCGUCUGAUACUGGAUGGCUUGAGUUUGGGAGAGGGACGCGGAAUUCCAGGUGUAGCGGUGAAAUGCGUAGAUAUCGGGAGGAACACCAGUGGCGAAGGCGGCGACCUGGGCCAAUACUGACGCUGAGGUGCGAAAGCGUGGGGAGCAAACAGG
rnacentral:rRNA from 1 species